ACUGCUGCUGCAGAGCCAUUCAGAGCCAGCUCUGUUGAAGGCUCCUACCUGGUCAGAAAUGGGAUGAGUCCCAGAAUUUGAAGAUAGAACCCAAUCUGCAACUGCAAGAAAAUCGAGAUCUACCAGGGCAAGAGCCAGGCCUUUAGGGGGCAGAGUGAUGUCUGUGGAAUUCAGGAUGAAGAAAUGGGUCCCAGAAAAUUUACUUAGGAAGAAAAGUAUGAGAAGAGGAAGAGGAAAGAAAAGUAGAAGAGUUCUUUCCUGGAAGAAGACAGUCCCGAGGCAUCCCCAUCUCACUUUAGAUCCCUAACUCACUAGGCUUCUCCUCCUGCUCUUUGUGAUGAGGCCAGUCCAGUAUGUACUGGAAGUAGAAGGAAUUAGGAAGACAAGAGGAGGGGAAAG